rnacentral:rRNA from 1 species
GACGAACGCUGGCGGCGUGCCUAAUACAUGCAAGUAGAACGCUGAAGGAGGAGCUUGCUUCUCUGGAUGAGUUGCGAACGGGUGAGUAACGCGUAGGUAACCUGCCUGGUAGCGGGGGAUAACUAUUGGAAACGAUAGCUAAUACCGCAUAAUAGUAGAUGUUGCAUGACAUUUACUUAAAAGGUGCAAUUGCAUCACUACCAGAUGGACCUGCGUUGUAUUAGCUAGUUGGUGGGGUAACGGCUCACCAAGGCGACGAUACAUAGCCGACCUGAGAGGGUGAUCGGCCACACUGGGACUGAGACACGGCCCAGACUCCUACGCGAGGCAGCAGUAGGGAAUUUUCGGCAAUUGACGAAAGGCUGACCGAGCAACGCCGCGUGAGUGAAGAAGGAUUGUGGAUCCUAAAGCUCUUUUGUAAGAGAAGAACGAGUGUGAGAGUGGAAAGUUCACACUGUGACGGUAACUUACCAGAAAGGGACGGCUAACUACGUG